rnacentral:rRNA from 1 species
AAGCUUGCUUCUAUGACGUUAGCGGCGGACGGGUGAGUAACACGUGGGCAACCUGCCUGUAAGACUGGGAUAACUUCGGGAAACCGAAGCUAAUACCGGAUAGGAUCUUCUCCUUCAUGGGAGAUGAUUGAAAGAUGGUUUCGGCUAUCACUUACAGAUGGGCCCGCGGUGCAUUAGCUAGUUGGUGAGGUAACGGCUCACCAAGGCAACGAUGCAUAGCCGACCUGAGAGGGUGAUCGGCCACACUGGGACUGAGACACGGCCCAGACUCCUACGGGAGGCAGCAGUAGGGAAUCUUCCGCAAUGGACGAAAGUCUGACGGAGCAACGCCGCGUGAGUGAUGAAGGCUUUCGGGUCGUAAAACUCUGUUGUUAGGGAAGAACAAGUACGAGAGUAACUGCUCGUACCUUGACGGUACCUAACCAGAAAGCCACGGCUAACUACGUGC